AUACGUAGGGGGCGAGCGUUGUCCGGAAUGAUUGGGCGUAAAGGGCGCGUAGGCGGCGCGGUAAGUCUGGAGUGAAAGUCCUGCUUUCAAGGUGGGAAUUGCUUUGGAUACUGCCGCGCUUGAGUGCAGGAGAGGUAAGUGGAAUUCCCAGUGUAGCGGUGAAAUGCGUAGAGAUUGGGAGGAACACCAGUGGCGAAGGCGACUUACUGGACUGUAACUGACGCUGAGGCGCGAAAGUGCGGGGAGCAAACAGGAUUAGAUACCCUGGUAGUCCACGCGGUAAACGAUGAAUGCUAGGUGUUGCGGGUAUCGACCCCUGCAGUGCCGGAGUCAACACAAUAAGCAUUCCGCCUGGGGAGUACGGCCGCAAGGUUGAAACUCAAAGGAAUUGACGGGG
rnacentral:rRNA from 1 species